UGAAGAAGAAAAGGGAAUACUGG
rnacentral:piRNA from 1 species